CAACGAAUAUUCCGCAAUGCACGAAAGUGUGACGGAGCGACGCCGCGUGUAGGAUGAAGCCCCUCGGGGUGUAAACUACUGUCAGGGUUAAACAAACGAUACGGGUGAAUAAUCCGUAAAGGUGAGUUAUCCCAGAGGAAGCCACGGCUAACUCUGUGCCAGCAGCCGCGGUAAGACAGAGGUGGCAAGCGUUGUUCGGAAUUACUGGGCUUAAAGGGUGUGUAGGCGGUUUAGUAAGCAACUCGUGAAAGCUCCAGGCUCAACCUGGGAACUGCAAGUUGGACUGCUGAACUUGAGGCGCGUAGGGGUCAACGGAACUCUGGGUGGAGCGGUGAAAUGCGUAGAUAUCCAGGGGAACGCCAGUGGUGAAGACGGUUGACUAGGCGCGUCCUGACGCUGAGGCACGAAAGCGUGGGGAGCAAACA
rnacentral:rRNA from 1 species